rnacentral:rRNA from 1 species
GACGAACGCUGGCGGCGCGCCUAACACAUGCAAGUCGAACGAGCGAGAGAGAGCUUGCUUUCUCGAGCGAGUGGCGAACGGGUGAGUAACGCGUGAGGAACCUGCCUCAAAGAGGGGGACAACAGUUGGAAACGACUGCUAAUACCGCAUAAGCCCACGUCUCGGCCUCGAGCCGGGGGAAAAGGAGCAAUCCGCUUUGAGAUGGCCUCGCGUCCGAUUAGCUAGUUGGUGGGGUAACGGCCCACCAAGGCGACGAUCGGUAGCCGGACUGAGAGGUUGAACGGCCACAUUGGGACUGAGACACGGCCCAGACUCCUACGGGAGGCAGCAGUGGGGAAUAUUGCACAAUGGGGGAAACCCUGAUGCAGCGACGCCGCGUGGAGGAAGAAGGUCUUCGGAUUGUAAACUCCUGUUGUUGGGGAAGAUAAUGACGGUACCCAACAAGGAAGUGACGGCUAACUACGUG